UAAACAUUGAGAUUAAACCGAAAAAUCAUGGAGAAUGUAGAGAGAGAAUCUAGAGAGAAGGAGGAGCGUCUGAGAGAAGUCUCUGGAAGCCAGAGAAUAUUAUUAAACAGAAAAGAAGAUGAAAUGAAAUCCGUGUGUAAAAUAUCUGAGGGAAUACUAUAUAUACAUGUAUCAUUGGGUCGGGUCAGACGGCCCAAUGGCAGAAAGAAAAUGGGGCUCAGACAUAUUAGGCUCGGUACAUACAUUUGGCCCAAAUAACAAACAGAUCAUCAUAGCCCAUACAAUGUACACCAGAGAAUACAAUAAAUAUACAGUGUGUACAAUCAUGUAAUCUCUUUCAUCUCAACACCCCCCCUCAAGUUGGAGGGGGAAACCACCUAUAAC
rnacentral:lncRNA from 1 species